UAUUGUUAGUUGCCAUCAUUCAGUUGGGCGCUCUAGCGAGACUGCCGGUAAGUAAACCGGAGGAAGGUGGGGAUGACGUCAAAUCAUCAUGCCCCUUAUGACCUGGGCUACACACGUGCUACAAUGGUUGGUACAACGAGUUGCGAGUCGGUGACGGCGAGCUAAUCUCUUAAAGCCAAUCUCAGUUCGGAUUGUAGGCUGCAACUCGCCUACAUGAAGUCGGAAUCGCUAGUAAUCGCGGAUCAGCACGCCGCGGUGAAUACGUUCCCGGGCCUU
rnacentral:rRNA from 1 species